rnacentral:rRNA from 1 species
GACGAACGCUGGCGGCGUGCUUAACACAUGCAAGUCGAACGGAAAGGCCCUGCUUUUGUGGGGUGCUCGAGUGGCGAACGGGUGAGUAACACGUGAGUAACCUGCCCUUGACUUUGGGAUAACUUCAGGAAACUGGGGCUAAUACCGGAUAGGAGCUCCUGCUGCAUGGUGGGGGUUGGAAAGUUUCGGCGGUUGGGGAUGGACUCGCGGCUUAUCAGCUUGUUGGUGGGGUAGUGGCUUACCAAGGCUUUGACGGGUAGCCGGCCUGAGAGGGUGACCGGCCACAUUGGGACUGAGAUACGGCCCAGACUCCUACGGGAGGCAGCAGUGGGGAAUAUUGCAGAAUGGGCGGAAGCCUGAUGCAGCAACGCCGCGUGCGGGAUGACGGCCUUCGGGUUGUAAACCGCUUUCGCCUGUGACGAAGAGUGAGUGACGGUAAUGGGUAAAGAAGCACCGGCUAACUACGUG